GACGAACGCUGGCGGCGUGCUUAACACAUGCAAGUCAAACGGUAAGGCCCUUCGGGGUACACGAGUGGCGAACGGGUGAGUAACACGUGGGUGAUCUGCCCUGCACUUCGGGAUAAGCCUGGGAAACUGGGUCUAAUACCGGAUAGGACCCUGGGAUGCAUGUCCUGGGGUGGAAAGCUUUUGCGGUGUGGGAUGGGCCCGCGGCCUAUCAGCUUGUUGGUGGGGUGAUGGCCUACCAAGGCGACGACGGGUAGCCGGCCUGAGAGGGUGACCGGCAACAGUGGGACUGGGAUACGGCCCAGACUCCUACGGGAGGCAGCAGUGGGGAAUAUUGCACAAUGGGCGCAAGCCUGAUGCAGCGACGCCGCGUGAGGGAUGACGGCCUUCGGGUUGUAAACCUCUUUCAGCACCGACGAAGCGCAAGUGACGGUAGGUGCAGAAGAAGGACCGGCCAACUACGUGCCAGCCGCCGCAGUAA
rnacentral:rRNA from 1 species